rnacentral:rRNA from 1 species
UACGGGGGGGGCAAGCGUUGUUCGGAUUUACUGGGCGUAAAGGGAGUGUAGGCGGUUGGCCAAGUCGGAUGUGAAAGCUUCACCACUCAACGGGAAGAGGUCAUCCGAAACUGGUCGGCUAGAGUAGGGUAGAGGCAAGCGGAAUUCCUGGUGUAGCGGUGGAAUGUGUAGAUAUCAGGAAGAACAUCGGUGGCGAAGGCGGCUUGCUGGGCCCUUACCGACGCUGAGACUCGAAAGCGUGGGGAGCAAACGGG